AUUGAACGCUGGCGGCAGGCCUAACACAUGCAAGUCGAGCGGCAGCGGGAAAGUAGCUUGCUACUUUUGCCGGCGAGCGGCGGACGGGUGAGUAAUGCCUGGGAAAUUGCCCAGUCGAGGGGGAUAACAGUUGGAAACGACUGCUAAUACCGCAUACGCCCUACGGGGGAAAGCAGGGGACCUUCGGGCCUUGCGCGAUUGGAUAUGCCCAGGUGGGAUUAGCUAGUUGGUGAGGUAAUGGCUCACCAAGGCGACGAUCCCUAGCUGGUCUGAGAGGAUGAUCAGCAACACUGGAACUGAGACACGGUCCAGACUCCUACGGGAGGCAGCAGUGGGGAAUUUUGGACAAUGGGCGAAAGCCUGAUCCAGCCAUGCCGCGUGUCUGAAGAAGGCCUUCGGGUUGUAAAGCUCUUUCGCGAGGGAAGAAAGCGCACUGGUUAAUACCUGGUGUGGAUGACGGUACCUUGAUAAGAAGCACCGGCUAACUACGUGCCAGCAGCCGCAGUAAAAC
rnacentral:rRNA from 1 species